CAAAUUUGAUUGGGUUUUGGAUCAACUGUAUUUGGGGCUAACCAAGAUUUGCCGACAGGAGCCACUGCUAUUGAUUUUCAUGUCACUAUGAGGAAGGGGUCAUUAAAUGCUGCUUGCUCGGUUUUGAAGCUAUUGUUGCCCUCUCUUCCAUGCAUAUGCCGUGGUAGCACCUUGCCAAUUGCCCUGCAGCUUAUAUGGUGGUUGGUUUGUCAUACAGUUAUUCAUGUCCAUCUAUCUUUGAAACAUAUGGUUCCUAUCUGAUGGCUGCACGGAAACACAGACAAUUUAGUAUGGGGUAGGUACAUUCAUUUUUUUAGAAUUGGAGGCCUUUUAUUUUCUUGCAUACCUCAUGAUUUUUGUUUACUAUCCAAAAAUGAUGAACAGUUUCUUUUGUGAGCCAAUUCACAUUCUGCAGGCUUCUUUCCUUGUCUCAGGAAUGCACUGAUUCUGGUAAGUUCAGAUAGGUGCAGUACAUGCAUCGGGAAUUUGGUUUCAACAUCUUUGGAACUUAGCUUUUCAAAAUCUUUGCAGACCGUAAUUUGGUUUUGUCAUCUGCUAUUUUUAUUGUUUUUCCACCCUCGUUCAGCCUAUGACGAAAAUUUUGAACCCAUUGCUAAACAAUAUGAUCUGAUAUUUAUUCGCAUAUGAGGUACUGGGCUUAUAUCAUACAAUUUUUGAGUGUAACUCCGCUGCCGUCAUGCUUAAAAGUUCAGAGUUAAUAAAUAAAUGAUGAUUCAUAUGU